UACGUAGGAUGCGAGCGUUGUCCGGAAUUAUUGGGCGUAAAGAGAACGUAGGCGGUUUCUUAAGUUUGGUCUUAAAGACCGGGGCUCAACCCCGGGAAUGGAUCGAAUACUGGGAGACUGGAGGAUGUCAGAGGAAAGUGGAAUUCCAAGUGUAGCGGUGAAAUGCGUAGAUAUUUGGAGGAACACCGGUGGCGAAAGCGACUUUCUGGGGCAUUCCUGACGCUGAGGUUCGAAAGCGUGGGGAGCGAACAGG
rnacentral:rRNA from 1 species